CGGCGGACGGGUGAGUAACGCGUGGGUAACCUGCCUCAUACAGGGGGAUAACAGUUAGAAAUGACUGCUAAUACCGCAUAAGACCACAGCACCGCAUGGUGCAGGGGUAAAAACUCCGGUGGUAUGAGAUGGACCCGCGUCUGAUUAGCUAGUUGGUAAGGUAACGGCUUACCAAGGCGACGAUCAGUAGCCGACCUGAGAGGGUGACCGGCCACAUUGGGACUGAGACACGGCCCAA
rnacentral:rRNA from 2 species